CUUCUUACUCUCCUUACUUGAAAGUUAUCUGUAUAAGUGAUAAAGAAUCUUGGACUCAAUGAAGGAAUGAAUUAUUAUUGGUUAUUAUUGGUCAAUUAUACUGAUGGCUGCAUUCAUUUGAAUUGUUUUUGUGAUCUUAGAUCUUGAUUCGAAGUGCCUAACCUAAGUAUCAUAUACAUCUAUGACCGCGUAUUAUAUCUUUAUGCAUUGUUAUAUAUAAUCAAUGAAAUGACAUCAUACCAUCAACAUAGCAAUGCAAACAUAAGAACAAUUUUGAUACUAUCAUACGUGUGUGGUCUGUGAUAAUUUAUAAUCGUGAUAUCAAUCCCUCGAAAGAAAUAUGAUUAAUAGCUGUAAACAAGAUGAAAGAUUCGAAACCUUUUUAUAUAAGAUCCGAGACUCGUAUACACACUUGCCAUUGUUUAUCUAAAAUUUACCGACACACAAAAGGUAGGUGAACGAGAUGGUGCACGUACAGAACAGAAUCGUUACGUACUUACAUUAUAUACAAGCACAGAUGGAAGAGGCAGCAACGUCCACGUCACUCGGUAUCGCUUGCCAAUUGGCUGGGUGCUCGAAACGUUUCAUAAUGCGUUCGAACGGAGUUAUAAAACGAGCGAAACUCGAGCCUGUAACCGCUCUACGGCUCUCUUAUCUUUUCUUUUCGAAACGAUGCCAGAUGCAUAUGUAUAUACGUGAAUGUUGACACGUGAAUGUUCGGUCAACUCAUCUUUCCUUUCUUUCUUAAUAGAAGAAAUCAACAAAAAUCAAAAAGGAUUUGAAGGACGAAUAUAGAUGAUAAUUUAAAAAUGGUCAAGAAGAAAAAGAAGAAGAUAGAGAUUAUAAAGAAGUUAAAAGAUAGAGAUUAUUAAAAAAUUAGAUAAUUGCUCACAUAAUUGAAUCGACGAUUUUGGAUAUAUUUGAAGUUGUAAAGCUAUAUACUAUCUCUGCGAAAUAGAUAUGAUAUUAUAAUAUUAAUAGAUAGUACUCAUAUCACUAUAAGUUUUUAAUAAUAUGAAUA